rnacentral:RNase_P_RNA from 1 species
CAAGUAGGACAAAUGAUCGCGGCUGUUUUUUAACAGAUGAGGAAAGUCCGGGCUUCACAGGGCAGGAUGCCGGAUAACGUCCGGUGGAGGUGACUCCAAGGCCAGUGCAACAGAAAUAAACCGCCCCAAGCUCAGGGUAAAGGCUUGCCGUAACUCUGAGCUUGGGGUAAGGGUGGAAAGGCAGUGUAAGAGACUACCGCCUGUACGGUAACGGACAGGGCACAUGUAAACCCCAUCCGAAGCAAGACCAAACAGAAAGCGCUUGAGCUUGCCCGGCGAGCUUUCAGGUAGGUCGCUUGAGGCUGUUGGUGACGACAGUCCUAGAUAGAUGAUCAUUCAACGACAUAACCCGGCUUAUCGUCCUGCUUGAUUU